rnacentral:rRNA from 1 species
UACGUAGGGUGCGAGCGUUAAUCGGAAUUACUGGGCGUAAAGUGUGCGCAGGUGGCCGCGCAAGUCGAGUGUGAAAUCCCCGGGCUUAACUUGGAAACUGCCAUGGAUACUAUAGAUCUUGAAUACUGUGGAGGUCAGCGGAAUAUGUCAUGUAGCGGUGAAAUGCUUAGAUAUGACAUAGAACACCAAUUGCGAAGGCAGCUGGCUACACAAAUAUUGACACUGAUGCACGAAAGCGUGGGGAUCAAACAGG